GGAUGAACGCUGGCGGCGUGCUUAACCCAUGCACGUCGAACGGAAAGGCCCAAGCUUGCUUGGGUACUCGAGUGGCGAACGGGUGAGUAACACGUGGGUGAUCUGCCCUGCACUUCGGGAUAAGCCUGGGAAACUGGGUCUAAUACCGGAUAGGACCACAUUUUGGAUGGUGUGGUGGAAAGUUUUUCGGUGUGGGAUGAGCUCGCGGCCUAUCAGCUUGUUGGUGGGGUAAUGGCCUACCAAGGCGUCGACGGGUAGCCGGCCUGAGAGGGUGUACGGCCACAUUGGGACUGAGAUACGGCCCAGACUCCUACGGGAGGCAGCAGUGGGGAAUAUUGCACAAUGGGCGCAAGCCUGAUGCAGCGACGCCGCGUGGGGGAUGACGGCCUUCGGGUUGUAAACUCCUUUCGCUAGGGACGAAGCGCAAGUGACGGUACCUGGAGAAGAAGCACCGGCUAACUACGUG
rnacentral:rRNA from 1 species